rnacentral:rRNA from 1 species
AUUGAACGCUGGCGGCAGGCCUAACACAUGCAAGUCGAGCGAGCGGCGGACGGGUGAGUAAUGUAUGGGGACUGCCCGAUAGAGGGGGAUAACUAGUGGAAACGGUAGCUCAUACCGCAUACUAUCGGAUAACCCAUAUGGGAUUAGCUAGUAGGUGAGGUAAUGGCUCACCUAGGCGACGAUCCCUAUAUGGUCUGAGAGGAUGCUCAGCCACACUGGGACUGAGACACGGCCCAGACUCCUACGGAGGCAGCAGUGGGGAAUAUUGCACAAUGGGCGCAAGCCGGAUGCAGCCAUGCCGCGUGUAUGAAGAAGGCCCUAGGGUUGUAAAGUACUUUCAGUCGGGAGGCGUUACCGACAGAAGAAGCACCGGCUAACUCCGUGCCAGCAGCCGCGGUAAUAC